GUGGACAGGGGACGUUCGCUCAACAGGCGAGCAUCUGCAAACGAUAAAUAUCCCAACUGCGGCAGGGAAGCCUCGCCGUUUACGGCGAGGAGGAUGUCACCGAGCAGCAAACC
rnacentral:misc_RNA from 1 species